rnacentral:rRNA from 1 species
UACGUAGGGUGCAAGCGUUGUCCGGAAUUAUUGGGCGUAAAGAGCUCGUAGGCGGUUUGUUGCGUCGGCUGUGAAAUCCCGAGGCUCAACCUCGGGUCUGCAGUCGAUACGAGCAAACUAGAGUGUUGCAGGGGAGACUGGAAUUCCUGGUGUAGCGGUGAAAUGCGCAGAUAUCAGGAGGAACACCGAUGGCGAAGGCAGUGUUCUGGGCCAGUACUGACGCUGAGGAGCGAAAGCGUGGGGAGCAAACAGG